ACGAACGCUGGCGGCGUGCUUAACACAUGCAAGUCGAACGGAAAGGCCCUGCUUUUGUGGGGUGCUCGAGUGGCGAACGGGUGAGUAACACGUGAGUAACCUGCCCUUGACUUUGGGAUAACUUCAGGAAACUGGGGCUAAUACCGGAUAGGAGCUCCUGCUGCAUGGUGGGGGUUGGAAAGUUUCGGCGGUUGGGGAUGGACUCGCGGCUUAUCAGCUUGUUGGUGGGGUAGUGGCUUACCAAGGCUUUGACGGGUAGCCGGCCUGAGAAGGUGACCGGCCACAUUGGGACUGAGAUACGGCCCAGACUCCUACGGGAGGCAGCAGUGGGGAAUAUUGCACAAUGGGCGGAAGCCUGAUGCAGCAACGCCGCGUGCGGGAUGACGGCCUUCGGGUUGUAAACCGCUUUCGCCUGUGACGAAGCGUGAGUGACGGUAAUGGGUAAAGAAGCACCGGCUAACUACGUG
rnacentral:rRNA from 1 species